AGAGUUUGAUCCUGGCUCAGAACGAACGCUGGCGGCAGGCCUAACACAUGCAAGUCGAGGCGCCCUUCGGGGUGAGCGGCGGACGGGUGAGUAACGCGUGGGAAUAUGCCUUUCACUAGGAAUAGUCUUGGGAAACUGAGGGUAAUACCGUAUACGCCCUAUUGGGGAAAGAUUUAUGGUGAAAGAUUAGCCCGCGUUGGAUUAGGUAGUUGGUGGGGUAAUGGCCUACCAAGCCGCGAUCCAUAGCUGGUUUGAGAGGAUGAUCAGCCACACUGGGACUGAGACACGGCCCAGAUCCUACGGGAGGCAGCAGUGGGGAAUCUUAGACAAUGGGGGCAACCCUGAUCUAGCCAUCCGCGUGAGUGAUGAAGGCCUUAGGGUUGUAAAGCUCUUUCAGCUGGGAAGAUAAUGACGUACCAGCAGAAGAAGCCCCGGCUAACUCCGUGCCAGCAGCCGCGGUAAUACGGAGGGGCUAGCGUUGUUCGGAAUUACUGGGCGUAAAGCGCACGUAGGCGGACCAGAAAGUUGGGGUGAAAUCCCGGGGCUCAACCUCGGAACUGCCUUCAAAACUAUUGGUCUGGAGUUCGAGAAGGUGAGUGGAAUACCGAGUGUAGAGGUGAAAUUCGUAGAUAUUCGGUGGAACACCAGUGCGAAGGCGGCUCACUGGCUCGAUACUGACGCUGAGGUGCGAAAGCGUGGGGAGCAAACGGAUUAGAUACCCUGGUAGUCCACGCCGUAAACGAUGAAUGCCAGACGUCGGGCAGCAUCUGUUCGGUGUCACACCUAACGGAUUAAGCAUUCCGCCUGGGGAGUACGGUCGCAAGAUAAAACUCAAAGGAUUUGACGGGGGCCCGCACAAGCGG
rnacentral:rRNA from 1 species